rnacentral:lncRNA from 1 species
UAUACACGGUGUACAUGAUAUUCAUCAAAGGUAAGGAUUCAAUUGUUCAAAAGUCUACCUAGUUGUGCAAAGGUAUAAGAGGAGUCGACAGGAAGAAUCAAUGCAUGCAGAUCGAACGAGAAGCCUGAUGAUUAACCCAUGAACUGUCAGGCUUUGGAGCUGAACAUCAAAUAGAAGUGUUCAGCAUAUCUAUAAAAUA